rnacentral:rRNA from 1 species
GUUAAUUGGCAAACGAAUCGGAGCCACGAAGUCGUUUCGAUGCUAGUUGGGCCAAGUUCAGUUUGGGAACCAAAAGUUCUCAGGCGUAUUCCUGGUGCAACCAUUGUAAGCGUACACUGCAACCAGUUAGACAGUUGAAGAUGGAACCAGUUGGACUGGUUUUCGGACCAGGCUAGCGAAAAAUUUGUUUCCCAGAGAUAGUAGUAGCGGGGGGUCUUUCGGGGCUCUUUGUUGCUGGGCGUCUGGUAAGUGAACUAUCUUCAAGUACUGACUGGCAAAUUGAAAAUCACCCCUAUGGGUGUUUUACACAAUGCGGUUUGCAGUACUGGUGUCUACAUGCUUGACCAUGGGGUUUUAAGCUCGACAUCUUCGAAUUUGGACUGGCCUUCUACUAAGGGGCAACUUUUGGUGUUGGUUUAGCUUCCAUCUAAUCAGGUGUUGACUUGAUCCUAUGUUGUUCGAGUGUGAAACGAUUGGGCGCUAGUAUAAGUAAAUUCGCCAUUGAUUGGCAGUGAGUAGGUCGGCUUUCCGAACGACCCGUCUUGAAACACGGACCAAGGA